rnacentral:rRNA from 1 species
UACGGGGGGGGCAAGCGUUGUUCGGAAUUACUGGGCGUAAAGGGCGCGUAGGCGGUUGGAUAAGUCAGCUGUGAAAACCACGGGCUUAACUCGUGGCCUGCAGUUGAGACUGUCUGGCUUGAGUGUGGGAGAGGAGAGUGGAAUUCCUGGUGUAGCGGUGAAAUGCGUAGAUAUCUGGAGGAACACCGGUGGCGGAGGCGGCAUCCUGGACCAACACUGACGCUGAGGGAGCGAAAGCCAGGGGAGCAAACGGG